UCCAGCCUAUCUAGGGUUUUCUGGGCCAGAGCGCAUUACAAUGGGAGCUCUGGAGCUACUGCCUUGGAUCGCAUUGCUCGCGAGCUUGAUUCUUGCUGGAAGUGCGAGCGCUGAGGACGGCGGGUCUGUGUUCUUCGUGGAGACUGGACAGGGAAAGGAUUAUCUACAGUCUGGCUCCCAGGAAUCGGUGUUCUCGGAAGCUGAUGUUGCGGCAUCCGUCGCGGUGCUUCUUGGUGUGGAUCCGCCAGUGACAAUGUCCGAGGUCUCCGCCAGCAAGCUCGAGAGGCUUCUUAUUCCAAAUGUAUUUCACAGGCCACAGAGAGUAGUUUCGCUGGUGAUCGAAGGUUUCGAUUCAGGCUUCCUGCAAGAAAAGAACGUCUCUCAGGCUCUCGGAGUGAAGCUGGCUGAGCAACGUGGUUUGAGUGUAAAGCCCAAAAGGGCAGCAACAAAGCAUCUGGCGGGGAAGCCUGUUAGACUGGAGUCUCUCAACCAUCCUGUUCCGGAGAACUUCGACUUGUUUCACCUGAAACGCGAGCUUCAAGGUCUUUUUGGACCUUCUUCGGUAGAAGUUUCAACCGAGGAUAACGUCGAAGAAGAAACUGCCGACGAGAAUGCCGCGGAACAGGAGCUCGUGAUACUUUCAGUCGACGGCAUUUCUCUCGAACUCGAUCUUUUCAAGAGGUCGGACUACCUAUUUGUAACAGACCUUCUAUCCCUAUCAGCAGGAGUGAAACGUGCCGUCUCCGUCCACGAAGAGCUAACAACAAAGCCGGACACCGCAGAGCUCUUUUUCGGUACAUUUACGGGGAUCAAGGCUCUAAAGCGGGAGCGACAGGACGAAGAUGUCAGCAAAGCUUCAGACAUCGUGCUUAUUGCAGUGGCAAAGCUAUUCCAAAAGCUGGAUACACUGACAAAUGGAAAACUAGUCGGUGUCGUGGCUUUCCCGGGCCAGAAUGGACACCAUCUUGUACGGGAAAUGAUCGGCAAGCACUACCACUCUUACAGAUCCAGGCUCCUCGAGCAAGAGAAGAAGCCGCAGACUGUGGAGCAGCUUUCACGGAGGACUCUGGCGGCCUCGACGGCCAUCAUUCUUAUCAUAGCCACUUUGCUCGGAACUUGCUGCCUAUGUUACAUGCCUCUCACUCGCGACUCUCUCCUUUACUCGGGCGCAAAGCUGGACUAAACGAAUGCCUGUAUAGUAGAACUUUUGGAAUAAUCUUAUUCAACUCAUCAGUUAGUGUGGGGGAGCUUUUUAGUACAAGAGGAGAGUGUAGAACUGUACCGUUAAACGUCGAUCGGUGAUCGUCGGCUCUUCGCGAAUAAAACGAACGUCGUGGAAGAUCACAAAAGGAUCUCCGUCGUAAACUUCCAAGAA